rnacentral:misc_RNA from 1 species
AUGGGCAUUCGUCGUUCCUAGCAUUCGAAAGGGUGUUGAUGAUGAGGAUAACGACCGCAGCGAUCCCGAUACGAAAUCGGGGAAUUAGUGUACGUCAUUCAUAGCAUUCGACGGGUGUCAAUAGGGAUGUCCAUGGCGGCGAUCGCGUGACGGUUUCCGUACCUGGGGUUGUUGUAGGCGCAAGCGGUGCAUAUACGGACGUUUCCAUCUGCGCUUCAUUCUCGAUUUGGCUCUUCUUGUUCGUAUACAGCAUCGAUGUGCGAUUCGGAACUGGCAUGCUAGCCUGUGGUUGAUUGCGGGAGCGGCGUGCCCUCGUAUGUCCGCCGUAUCGCCUUCUCUGGAAGCUGCACUGCAGUGCUUGAACGCUUGCUCCAUCUCUCGGCAGUUGUUCUUCAUGAGCACAGAGGGCUUGCCUCGGUGCGUCUCUCCGUGUUGGCGCCAUAUACCAUAGUGCGGAAUUACCGCGUCGUUCUGGGCGAUGCUGUCCGUGAAUAUGCUUUCUGGUGGAAGCGCGAGCGCAUGCUUACUCGUGCGAUAGAGGAUUUGCAGAACGCGAUGUUUUCCAUGAUGACACGCAAGAAUCGCGAGAAAAAUUAAGACUGGUGGAAGCAUACGAAACUUUGCAACUGUCGCUGGUCCCAUGACGCGAAUCGACGACGCACUCUGUACUGAAAGGGAUCGCUGUGAUAACGAAGUCCGAAUUCUAGACCCUUUUCUACGCACACACACACAUACACACAGAGAAGAGCCGGAAGUCUCCGGAAGUAUACCCCACGAGAUGGAUCAUAGGGCUGCUGCGGGCCUGCCGUUUCGUCGAUAGCCACAAUGAGAUGAGGAUUUAUCGUCGCAACGGAAUCGAUCAUGUGAUUUGAGAAGGUCACGAACUGGUCGGCAGGAGCUUGUGAAGAAAUCGUCAAGGGACGCCGUCGAGGUUCUUCGCUCGUCAAAGUCAUGCGACGGAGAUCUUUGGACGCACGCUGUUGUUUGCUUGAAAAGAAAGAUCGAAAACUCGUACCAUUUGUGAUUUGAACAUGCUACGCGUCAGGAACGCAGAAAUGUCGAGGCUCGUACAUGUGAAUUGGGCGAUAAUUGCGGGUGUUUUCAUUCUGAAAAGAACGAUCGAAAACUCGUACCAUUUAUGAUUUGAAAAUGCUACGCGUCAGGAACGCAGAAGCGUGGAUGCUUCUACAUGUGAACUGGGCGAUGAUUGCGGUUAUUUUAAAAAUGCCUGUUCGAGGGCGUUCCACGUCAUCUUGAUGCCCGUCACCGGUGGAAUUCAACCCGCCAUACAUCAGAGAAUCCACUCCAAAAAGCCGAUCGAGCAUCAGAAAAGUCAUGUAUGAAUCCGGACGCCGAUAUCAUUGCACACGGAGUCUCGAGGUUGCAGAUCCAAAGCACGCUCGGAAACAACAUUGAAAAAUAGGUUCAGAGCGAGUAGUUCAGUGUUCCGCGUUCAGGCGACACGGGUAUAUUGUCGUCUGGGUAUGCGAUGACGCUCCGUAACCGGACAAGCGACCAUCUUUUCUCUCUAGACGCCGCCAAGUUCCCCGAAUCCCAUACGAAACUUUCCGUCGAGAUCGACGGCUUGGUCCUUCCGGGGAACCUCCUGGUCUGGUGACAUGCCUCGAAUAGACGCUGGAUAUGUCACCGUUUCCGCAGCCUCCAUGCGAAGACAGCUGCGCGUUGCGGUGCCGUGGCCGGUGUCAACUCGCGACCCAUCCUGCAUAUGUGCUGCUCGGUCGUUGCACAAAGCGAUGGCUGGUGGUGAUCCACGAACGUUUGCGUCAAGGCCCGUCCGACAGCGCUCUCCGCACAGGCACGCGGUGUCCAUCGUUUUCCAGGGCUUCAGGUUCGAUUUUGCGUCAAGGCGCCGUCCUGAAACGGCAUCUGAUCAGCAACAACAACAACAACAACAACUGCAUAUGCACGGCGACGACAAGUCCCGAAUCCGCUGGAUACAGAGGGUGCACGACCCGUCUUCGCUCCAGUUGUAUCACUUGUUGGUGUCGCAGUAUCGCUGCGCUUAUGCGAGUCUCAACCUUUCCAUAUCGUGUAUGCAUCGCCUACUAUAUCGUAGCGCUUCACACAAGAAAACUUGGCGGCAUCGUGCGGUGUCAUGCGAGUUUAGCAUUGUAUGCUUUGUGAUGCACGAACUUCGGAGCAACCAGGAUCUGCUUUCGAAUGACCGGAUGCUUUUUUGCGUCACGAGAAACCCUCCCUCCAUAGACACUGUGAAGGACAAGUGUUGCGCAUAACGCGCUCCAUGCCCGGCACUUUAUCACCAAAUGCGCUUCACACAACAGCGUGCCUAUGCCUGCAUUCCUGGGUGGCGCACGACGCCUCUGGCGCUCGCAGGAUGCUGAGUUCGGGUAUGCACCACAAGCAGGCGCCCGGGGUGUCAUGAACACGGCCGCCACUGGGGCCACGGCAGUUGCCAGAGGCGUCAGCGCAGGGUACCGUGGGCGACGCACAAACGCACUGCUGGAGCGUUUUCUUAUGUGGCUUCGUUCAUGGUGCAGGAUCGGUGCAGUGUAGCUGCCUGCUGAUGAUGAUGCUCACCCGAGUGCGCGGUUGUCUUCGGCAACCGGGGCUACGACACCCGCUCUGCUGUAGACCCAUGUGUUUCCCUAGGGAUCCCCAGAGCGGAUCGGGGCGUCAAGCACACAUCAUAGCAGGUAUGCAGAACACGUCCGUGCGAGCAUUCCGGGAACAACAGCAACUGCUACAACGACGAGUGUACCCGUGGUAUCGCAACACCGUCGCCACCGGCCAGCGACAUUGCCAUAAAGCGGCUACGCACAAGCGCUGCAGCUGCCUCUUGAGUCCUCUGCUGCUGCUGCUGCUGCUGCAGCUGAGCACCUGCCUCCACAUUCCGACUCGCUGGCGCCUUGGCGAGGACAAACGUGUGCCCAGCAGCGACCCGGCUAUGCUGCAGCAUCGCUGGUGCUCCCGGGCGCCUUUUGUGCUCAGCGUAGCUCAUCAUGACGGGUAGGGUGCAUCGAUUGCUCCCGCUGUGCAACGAAUGCUUCCCAGGCGUGGUCAUCGACCAGCGUCGCUGCUGCGGUAGCCUCUGUAUCCAGUUCGUCCCAAUGCGGAAUGAUACGGCGAGCGCUUUCGAGUUUCGACUCGUGUGUACUCGGAUUAUUACAGAGAUCAAUGGUUUUGGCACGAGCCUUGCUCUGUUCGCUGCACCAGGUCUCGCACCAGAGCCAUUCGGACGGUAGGGAUUCGAGGGGAACCAGCGGUUCAGCAGCGUUCAUGGUACCGCUUUGCUCAGCCAGCGGCACACUUGCAUAGUUCGGCAGAUCCUGGUCCAAAUUCGAAAGCGACUCUGGAUCGGCGCUCAGUCUCUGGUACAACGCUCGAAGCGUGUCACCGGCACGGUGUGCGCGAAAACGUUUCAGAUCAACAACGAACAACGCUGAUAUGUGGUACGGUUGCCCGCGUAGGUGUUUCGCCCAGAAUCCUCGCUUCCAAAACCGAUACGCAUCCAUUUCGGGACGAUCGUCACAAAACGGCACGAAACCGUAGACAGCACGUGAUCCGAGGGCCAGCUCCCAGAGCUCACCGAGGUCACCGCGAACCACUUGAUCCGAAUCGAUGAAGAUGAUACGUUCCACAUCCGACGGGAACAAAACAUCUAGGAAUAAAAUCUUAUACGCCCAGAUCAGGCGCU